CCUUUGUACACACCGCCCGUCGCUACUACCGAUUGAACGGCUCAGUGAGGCCUUCGGACUGGCCCCAGGAGGUCGGCAACGACCACCCAGGGCCGGAAAGUUGGUCAAACUCGGUCGUUUAGAGG
rnacentral:rRNA from 1 species